rnacentral:lncRNA from 1 species
UCCUUUCAUCCUCUGAACAGUCUUUAAGUGGUGGGUAUUUUUAUCACCUUAUCACACAUGUGGAAACUGAGUUUCAGGCAGUACUAGGAAGUAGUUGUGAGUCUUAACACCUCGCUCAGGCACCAGUGACCAAAAAGCACAAUACAUAUCAACACAGGAAGCGGGGUGGUAAAUGUUCUCAGUGCCGGGACCCAGCACCCACGCAUAGCUCCUCUCUCAUUAGGAAUAACUGCAGCGACGAGGUCAAUGUAUCUUUCCAGACCUGUUCCAGGCGCAUAGAAAAGAUAAGGAACCCACUAUGUGCCAGGUUUUGUCCCAGGCUCUGAGGAUGCAGAAGUGAGCAAAAGAGACAAAGAUCCUUGUCCUCAAGUCUUCACAGAGCUUAUUCUCUAAAGGGAAAAGACAGAUAAUCAGCAUAGUAGGCUCCCUCUGGAUGCAGCAUUGAGAAUAGACUAGAGGUGAAUAAAAACAAAAGCAUGGAAACCAAGAAGCUAUGCAGCGUAAUGAUGACGGUGGCAAGGACGAGUGUGGUUACAAUGGAGGUGGUGAGAAGUGAUCAGAUUCCAGGUAUAUUUUGAAAGUGGAGCCAACACAAUUUGCUAAGCGCUAACUCCAAGGACUUCGGCCUGAGCAGCUGGAAGGAUGGAGGUGCCGUUAACUGAGAUAGGGAAGACCUUGGAAAGAGCAGGUUUAGGGGUGGAGAUGAAGAGUUCAGUUUGGGGCACUUUAGGCUUAAGAUAUCUAUUAGAUGUCCGAGAGGAGUUGUCCAUCAGGUAGUUGGAUAUUCAGAGUAGAGUUCAG